rnacentral:rRNA from 1 species
CCUACGGGCGGCAGCAGUGGGGAAUAUUGCACAAUGGGGGAAACCCUGAUGCAGCGAAGCCGCGUGAGUGAAGAAGGAAUUCGUUAUGUAAAGCUCUAUCAGCAGGGAAGAAAAUGACGGUACCUGAGUAAGAAGCCCCGGCUAACUACGUGCCAGCAGCCGCGGUAAUACGUAGGGGGCAAGCGUUAGCCGGAUUUACUGGGUGUAAAGGGAGCGUAGACGGCAGUGCAAGUCUGGAGUGAAAGGCGGGGGCUCAACCCCCGGACUGCUCUGGAAACUGUACGGAUGGAGUGCAGGAGAGGUAGGUGGAAGUCCUAGUGUAGCGGUGAAAGGCGUAGAGAUUAGGAGGAACACCAGUGGCGAAGGUGGCAUACUGGACUGUGACUGACGUUGAGGCUCGAAAGCGGGGGGAGCAAACAGGAUUAGAUACCCCAGUAGUC